UACGUAGGGGGCAAGCGUUGUCCGGAAUUACUGGGCGUAAAGGGCGCGUAGGCGGUCUUUUAAGUUCCGUGUGAAAUCCCUCGGCUCAACUGGGGAACGGCACGGAAAACUGGAAGGCUUGAGUUCGGGAGAGGGAAGCGGAAUUCCGGGUGUAGCGGUGAAAAUGCGUAGAUAUCCGGAGGAACACCGGUGGCGAAGGCGGCUUCCUGGACCGACACUGACGCUGAGGCGCGAAAGCUAGGGGAGCAAACGGG
rnacentral:rRNA from 1 species